CAAGUUCACAUUCUGGCUUUGGGUGGCAGGCUUUGUCCAGCAAAGUUAUGGGUUCUCUGUUUUCAAAAACAGCUACUCCAUCUCCACUUCUUGAAAAACCAUGGAGGCAAAUUAACUCUGGAGAGAACCCAACUGAUCAGCAUUUUGUAAAGAACUACAAACCUCAGGUUGAAGAACAACAGCUUAGGAUCCUCCUUCAUGGUCCAGUUGGAGCUGGAAAAUCUAGUUUCAUCAAUUCUGUAAACACUGUCUUACAAAACAGAGUAUGUCGCGAAGCUUUGGUGGAUAACACAUCUCGUGACUGUUUCACCAAAAAGGUAUGGACAGAGUACAGCUGUGCUGAUGACAGUGAUUGGAAAAACAUUUUUAUGCACAUCACUUUAAAGAUGGUAGCUGGUUGUUUGGAAACAUUCCAGACUUUAGUUUCCAAGGUAACAAUCUAAUGCAGGGGUGUCAGCCUCCAGUACUCGAGGGCCGGUGUCCUGAAACUUUUCCAUGUGUCCCUGCUGCAACACACCUGAAUAAAAUUAGUAGGUCAUUAGCAAGACUUGACUGCAUGCUGAGGUGGCAACCCCCAACCCCUACUCAAGUAAAUUUAAAUAAAUGUGUUUGGAAAAAUGUACUUCUAAUAGUUUGUUUUUUUUAUUGCACCGUGUUCAUUCACUAAUUAGCUGCUGUAACAUGAAUCAAAUGCCUGAGUUGCCUCCUCAGCAUACAGUCAAGUCAAAAAUACCAGCUAGUCCAACUUUAGUAACCCUACAAAAGUCACUGCUGUUUAGUUUCCUCUCUUCAUUUAUGUUGGAAGUGAUAGCAGAGCUGUACGUUUUUAUUU